rnacentral:lncRNA from 1 species
ACUUGAAGAAGCGGAGCCAGGGCUGAGAUCCCGAAGGCGGGCGAGGCCGCAGUUCGGGGGCCACGCCCCGGCGUGCUCGGGUCACCGCGGGAAGCCCUUGAACCCCCUGGCGCCCGGCACCCACGUGCGGUAACCGCGGCUCCUCGAGAGCUCCAGGGAUGCGGAUCUACAGUAAGGGCUGUGGCCAGAUGAAUGAAUGCACAUUUUUUAGUGGGCAGAAAGAUGUUAGAAUUCAUGAAUUAGAAUAAGCACAAAGGAGGGCGAGAGGGGAGGCCGUGGAAGCCGCAUUCCUCCCCUUGCCUUGGGCGCCCACCCCCGAAGGGGCGCGUCCCCUCCCUGCUCCACUGCACGUGGGUGUUUAACCAGGGGAUAUCCAGUGCCUCAAGCACCACGACCCGGGAGAAAACUGAGUUGAGAAGGGUCCAUUCAAGAAUUGUGCCCACAAUAUACCAGGCACUUGUCCAGACCUGCAUCGUCCAAUGCCCACCUCGACCUCCCAAAGUGUUGGGAUUAGAGGCGUGAGCCACCGCGCCCUGCCUGCAUGUGGCUAUUGAGAUGUGCUGUAUG